rnacentral:tRNA from 1 species
GCAAGUAUAGUUUAACCCAAACAUUAGGCUGUGAUCCUAAAGAUAGAAGUUAGACCCUUCUUACCUGCC